rnacentral:rRNA from 1 species
UACGUAGGGCGCAAGUGUUGUCCGGAAUUAUUGGGCGUAAAGAGCUCGUAGGCGGCUUGUCACGUCGGGUGUGAAAGCCCGGGGCUUAACCCCGGGUCUGCAUUCGAUACGGGCUAGCUAGAGUGUGGUAGGGGAGAUCGGAAUUCCUGGUGUAGCGGUGAAAUGCGCAGAUAUCAGGAGGAACACCGGUGGCGAAGGCGGGUCUCUGGGCCGAUAUCGACGCUGAGGAGCGAAAGCGUGGGGAGCGAACAGG